rnacentral:rRNA from 1 species
UACCAGCACCCCGAGUGGUCGGGACGUUUAUUGGGCCUAAAGCAUCCGUAGCCGGUUCUACAAGUCUUCCGUUAAAUCCACCUGCUUAACAGAUGGGCUGCGGAAGAUACUAUAGAGCUAGGAGGCGGGAGAGGCAAGCGGUACUCGAUGGGUAGGGGUAAAAUCCGUUGAUCCAUAGAAGACCACCAGUGGCGAAGGCGGCUUGCCAGAACGCGCUCGACGGUGAGGGAUGAAAGCUGGGGGAGCAAACCGG